rnacentral:rRNA from 1 species
UGCAUCGAUGAAGAACGCAGCGAAAUGCGAUAAGUAGUGUGAAUUGCAGAAUUCAGUGAAUCAUCGAAUCUUUGAACGCACAUUGCGCCCCUUGGUAUUCCAUGGGGCAUGCCUGUUCGAGCGUCAUU